rnacentral:tRNA from 1 species
GGCUCUGUAGUGUAGUGGUUAGCACAUCUGCUUUACACGCAGAAGGUCUUGGGUUCCUGCUGCAGGUGGAGCCA